ACCACCUUCGGACUGAGGUUUACUAUCCCGUUCUAUCAUUCUUUCUACAUUCUCUGGAAUUCAUUCAUCCAUUUAAAGUGUUAAGUGAUAUUCUGGGUGACAAGAAUAUGGAGCAAGCACUUAUUCUUCUUGUGAUGUUGACUGGACUAACGCAUGCUUUCCUUACACCUGCUGAGACUAAAUGUAAUGCCACAAAGAAUGCAACUCUGUGCUCUGCUACACUUGGACAGCCUGUGUAUAUCCAAAUGAUGAUGACCAAUAUAUCUCAACUGCACUUUAAGAAAGGAUCAGUAAAAGUGUUCAGUCUGAAAAACAGAAAGGUGAAUAUAUAUAAAGAUUUUCAAAACAGAACUGAAGUUUUUAUCAGCAACGGGACGUUCAAGAUCAACAGCAUGGAGAGGAGUGAUGUAGGUCAAUACAUCAUAGAGGGCUUUGAUGAAAAUGGGCACGGGGUGUUAAACCUUCAUGUGAAACUGGAUGUUCAAGGCAACAAGUUGCUCAUCUGGAUUGUAGUCGGUUCAGUUGUGGGUGUCAUACUGGUAGUGAUAUUGGUGAUUGCUGUACGGCGGUUUUGCUGUGGUAACAAGAAAAGUGGGCAUCACUACAAGCCAAAGGACUCUUCACCACAGACUGCAUUAUAAACAUAACUGCUCAUAUAAAUAACGUCAAAGAGAAGCCUUCAGGAUGAUUUUUAACUGAGAAUGACUAUCACCACGGACUGAACUAAAGACUACAAGACACAAGAGAGAACAUAACUUUAAGCUUUAAUAGAAAAGACUGAAAUGUUGCUUUGCUGGAAUGUUGAUAUAUCGCAUGUUAAUUUAAUUUUAGUAGCAGCAGCUUUAUUUUUGAGGUAACAUCAGAAUAAAAUUGAAAAAAAAAAUAAUUUUUGAUCUGCAAACUAUUGUAAUAGACUGAUGCUCAUAAUUGACAUAAUAUAUAAAUGAUAGAAAUGGGACUUAAAUAUUAGUGCUGAAACCCAGAGACCAAAAAUGAAUCACUGAUGUGCGAUUAGUUGUAAUGUUUAUUAAAAGAGUUUUAAAUAUGAGAUUGUGAAUGGAGUUUUCACAUAAUGCGAAGAUGAUGCUGUAAAUGUAACACUGCAGAGUCCGUCUGAUAGUAAGAGUGAGAUGGGAUAAAUAAUAACUUAGAUUCAGUUUCUGUCUAGUGUUGGACUGAAAAUCAUACAGCCUAAAGUCUACAAGUCAA